UACGGUUGAGUAUUACAUCAGGUACUGGUGUGCCUGAAAUCCAACAACCAGUACUUGUGUCAUACUACGCCGUG
rnacentral:pre_miRNA from 15 species